rnacentral:rRNA from 1 species
UACGUAGGGUGCGAGCGUUGUCCGGAAUUAUUGGGCGUAAAGAGCUCGUAGGCGGUGUGUCACGUCGGCCGUGAAAACCUGCAGCUUAACUGUGGGCGUGCGGUCGAUACGGGCAUCACUGGAGUUCGGCAGGGGAGACUGGAAUUCCUGGUGUAGCGGUGAAAUGCGUAGAUAUCUGGAGGAACACCGGUGGCGAAGGCGGCAUCCUGGACCGGCAUUGACGCUGAGGCGCGAAAGCCAGGGGAGCAAACGGG